rnacentral:rRNA from 1 species
GAUGAACGCUGACAGAAUGCUUAACACAUGCAAGUCGAUGGGGAAGUGGUGCUUGCACCAUGGUAACCAUGGCGGACGGGUGAGUAACGCGUAAGGAACUUGCCUGCGGGACUGGGAUAACAGCAGGAAACUGCUGAUAAUACCGGAUAAGGUCAUUAAGCUGCAUAGCUUAGUGAUGAAAGGAGACGCCUGCGGAGAGCCUUGCGUCCUAUUAGCUAGUUGGAGGGGUAACGGCCCACCAAGGCGAAGAUAGGUAGCCGGCCUGAGAGGGUGGACGGCCACAAGGGGACUGAGAUACGGCCCUUACUCCUACGGGAGGCAGCAGUGGUGAAUAUUGGACAAUGGGGGCAACCCUGAUCCAGCAAUUCUGUGUGAACGAAGACGGUUUUCGGAUUGUAAAGUGCUUUCAGCAGGGAAGAAGGAAGUGACGGUACCUGCAGAAGAAGCGACGGCUAAAUACGUG